UAUGGUUCCUUGGAUCGUAAAUACUACAUGGAUAACUGUAGUAAUUCUAGAGCUAAUACAUGCCACGAUGCCCAAUUCUGGGUGGAUUUAUUAGUACAGAACCAACCGGAUGCAGUUCUGCUGUAUCUGUUACGCUCUGUGAUGACUCUGGAUAACUUUACUGAUCGCAGUCGGCCUUGUGUCGGCGACGGAUCUUUCAAAUGUCUGCCCUAUCAAUUGUCGAUGGUAGGUGACCUGCCUACCAUGGUGAUAACGGGUAACGGGGAAUCAGGGUUCGAUUCCGGAGAGGGAGCCUGAGAAACGGCUACCACUUCUAAGGAAGGCAGCAGGCACGCAAAUUACCCAAUCCCGGCACGGGGAGGUAGUGACGAAAAAUACGGAAACGGGACUCAUUAGAGGCUCCGUUAUUCGAAUGAGUACAAUUUAAAUCCUUUAACGAGGAUCAACUGGAGGGCAAGUCUGGUGCCAGCAGCCGCGGUAACUCCAGCUCCAGAAGCGUAUAUUAAAGUUGUUGCAGUUAAAAAGCUCGUAGUUGGAUCUGGGUCGCAUGGCUACAUGCUGUUGCUUAUAUUCUCAGCCUGGUUACGAUCGGGUUGGGUUUAUGGCUGGGCGUAGUGGUU
rnacentral:rRNA from 1 species